rnacentral:rRNA from 1 species
GACGAACGCUGGCGGCGUGCUUAACACAUGCAAGUCGAACGGAAAGGCCCUGCUUUUGUGGGGUGCUCGAGUGGCGAACGGGUGAGUAACACGUGAGUAACCUGCCCUUGACUUUGGGAUAACUUCAGAAAACUGGGGCUAAUACCGGAUAGGAGCUCCUGCUGCAUGGUGGGGGUUGGAAAGUUUCGGCGGUUGGGGAUGGACUCGCGGCUUAUCAGCUUGUUGGUGGGGUAGUGGCUUACCAAGGCUUUGACGGGUAGCCGGCCUGAGAGGGUGACCGGCCACAUUGGGACUGAGAUACGGCCCAGACUCCUACGGGAGGCAGCAGUGGGGAAUAUUGCACAAUGGGCGGAAGCCUGAUGCAGCAACGCCGCGUGCGGGAUGACGGCCUUCGGGUUGUAAACCGCUUUCGCCUGUGACAAAGCGUGAGUGACGGUAAUGGGUAAAGAAGCACCGGCUAACUACGUG